UACGUAGGGUGCGAGCGUUGUCCGGAAUUAUUGGGCGUAACGAGCUCGUAGGCGGCUUGUCGCGUCGGUUGUGAAAGCCCGGGGCUUAACUCCGGGUCUGCAGUCGAUACGGGCAGGCUAGAGUGUGGUAGGGGAGAUCGGAAUUCCUGGUGUAGCGGUGAAAUGCGCAGAUAUCAGGAGGAACACCGGUGGCGAAGGCGGAUCUCUGGGCCAUUACUGACGCUGAGGAGCGAAAGCGUGGGGAGAGAACAGG
rnacentral:rRNA from 1 species